AUACCUCGGCCUUUUGGCUAAGAUGUAGAAUCUAUUCUUAUCAGUUUAAUAUCUGAUACAUAGAGCAAAAGGUGCUUUAUAAAUACUUCUCUAGUGGGCUUUUUUGAACGGCCAAGGUGUCAUACACGUGGCAAAAAUUUUAAGACACAAAAAAUUUCCAAGAUCACAUCUU
rnacentral:snRNA from 1 species